UUAACUCAAAUUUGUAUGGAGUUGGAAACUUUGGCUGCGUUUGCCGAUAGGGGCGCUGUUCAAACUGCAUACAAAUUUGAGUUA
rnacentral:pre_miRNA from 1 species